rnacentral:rRNA from 1 species
GACGAACGCUGGCGGCGCGCUUAACACAUGCAAGUCGAGCGAAGCGGCGGACGGGUAAGUAACACGUGAGUAACCUGCCAUAGACAUUGGGAUAGCCUCGUGCACCCGGAAUUAAUACCACAUGGUCUAAGAUGGACUCGCGUCCCAUUAGCUAGUUGGUGCGGUAACGGCCCACCAAGGCGACGAUGGUUAGCCGGCCUUAGAGGGUGAACGUGCACAUUGGAACUGAGAAACGGGCCAAAUUCUACGGGAGGCAGCAGUGGGGACUAUUGCACAAUGGAGGGAACGCGGAGGCAGCGACGCCGCGUGAACGAAGAAGGCUUUAGAGUCGUAAAGUUCUUUUAUAUGGGAAGCGGGACCAGAAGAAAAAGCCCCGGCUAACUACGUGCCAGCAGCCGCGGUAAGUC